UACGGGGGGGGGCAAGCGUUGUUCGGAAUUACUGGGCGUAAAGGGCUUGUAGGUGGCCAACUAAGUCAGACGUGAAAUCCCUCGGCUUAACCGGGGAACUGCGUCUGAUACUGGAUGGCUCGAGUGUGGGAGAGGGAUGCGGAAUUUCCAGGUGUAGCGGUGAAAUGCGUAGAUAUCUGGAGGAACACCGGUGGCGAAGGCGGCAUCCUGGACCAUAACUGACACUGAUAAGCGAAAGCCAGGGGAGCAAACCGGG
rnacentral:rRNA from 1 species